rnacentral:rRNA from 1 species
GACGAACGCUGGCGGCAGGCCUAACACAUGCAAGUCGAGCGAGCGGCGGACGGGUGAGUAAUGUAUGGGGAUCUGCCCGAUAGAGGGGGAUAACUACUGGAAACGGUGGCUAAUACCGCAUACUAUCGGAUGAACCCAUAUGGGAUUAGCUAGUAGGUGGGGUAAAGGCGCACCUAGGCGACGAUCUCUAGCUGGUCUGAGAGGAUGAUGAGCCACACUGGGACUGAGACACGGCCCAAGCUCCUCCGGGAGGCGGCAGGGGGGAAGAUUGCACAAUGGGCGCAAGCCUGCUGCAGCCAUGGCGCGUGUAUGAGGAAGGCCUUCGGGUUGUAAAGCACUUUCAGCGAGGAGGCGUUACUCUCAGAAGAAGCACCGGCUAACUCCGUGCCAGCAGCCGCGGUAAUUC